rnacentral:rRNA from 1 species
UACGUAGGGUGCAAGCGUUAAUCGGAAUUACUGGGCGUAAAGCGUGCGCAGGCGGUUUUGUAAGUCUGUCGUGAAAUCCCCGGGCUCAACCUGGGAAUUGCGAUGGAGACUGCAAGGCUAGAAUCUGGCAGAGGGGGGUAGAAUUCCACGUGUAGCAGUGAAAUGCGUAGAGAUGUGGAGGAACACCGAUGGCGCAAGGCAGCCCCCUGGGAUCAAGAUUGAC